CCUACGGGAGGCAGCAGUGGGGAAUAUUGGACAAUGGGGGCAACCCUGAUCCAGCCAUGCCGCGUGUGUGAAGAAGGCCCUCGGGUUGUAAAGCACUUUCAGUGAGGAAGAACGCCUGGUGGUUAAUACCCAUCAGGAAAGACAUCACUCACAGAAGAAGCACCGGCUAACUCCGUGCCAGCAGCCGCGGUAAUACGGAGGGUGCGAGCGUUAAUCGGAAUUACUGGGCGUAAAGCGCGCGUAGGUGGCUUGAUAAGCCGGUUGUGAAAGUCCCGGGCUCAACCUGGGAACGGCAUCCGGAACUGUCAAGCUAGAGUGCAGGAGAGGAAGGUAGAAUUCCCGGUGUAGCGGUGAAAUGCGUAGAGAUCGGGAGGAAUACCAGUGGCGAAGGCGGCCUUCUGGACUGACACUGACACUGAGGUGCGAAAGCGUGGGUAGCAAACAGGAUUAGAUACCCCAGUAGUC
rnacentral:rRNA from 1 species